GAUGAACGCUGGCGGCGUGCCUAAUACAUGCAAGUCGAACGGACAGACGCGGCUCUUGCUGCUCGCACGUUAGCGGCACGCGUGUGUAACCCGUGAGUAACCCGACCUUUACUUUGGGAUAAAUUUAGGAAACCCGGGCUAAUACCGGAUAGGAGUUCUUGCCCCAUGGUGUGGGUUGGAAAGGUUGGGCGGUUGGGGAUGGACUCGAGGCUUAUCGGCUCGUUGGUUGGGUAGUGGCUUACCAAGGUUCCGAGGGAUAGACGACCUGAGAGGGUGACCGGCCACAUUAGGACUGAGGUACGGCGCAGACGCCUACGGGAGGCAGCGGUGGAGAGUAUUACGCAAUAGGCCGGAGCGUGAUACGACGGCGCCGGGUGCGGGAUGACGGCCUUCGAGUGGUGAACAUCUUUCGCCUGAAACGAGGCGUGAGUGACGGUAAUGGGUAAGAAAGCACCGGCUAACUACGUG
rnacentral:rRNA from 1 species